rnacentral:ncRNA from 3 species
UAUGGCACUGGUAGAAUUCAC